AGCUAACUAAAUAGAUAGUGACACAGAGGAAUUCUACGAUGCUGCUGAAGACGUCAAUUUUACUGGCUGCGUUGGACCGGAGGGCGACUCUGGCUGCGUCGGACCGGAGGGCGACUCUGGCUGCGUCGGACCGGAGGGCUCUCUUGGGCAUAGGUGCCGGACACUCGGGCUGAGGCACUGUCGUCGGGCACUCUGGGUUAGGUGCUGUCGCUAUGCCAUCUGGGCGAGGCGCAUGCACUGAAGGCCUGGUACGUGGGGCUGGCGUAGGGGACGCCGGACUAGGCCCACGUACCUCAGGGCUAGUGCUAGGGGCAAGAGUAGGACGAGUUGGGCUGGGCUGCCGCACUGGGAGCCUGGUGCUGGCUUCGGGGGAGUCAGACUAGGGACACACACACACACACCUGUAGGCUUGUGCGGAGAGCAGGGAUAGGUCGAGCUGGACUAGGCUGCCGCUCGGGAAGCCUGGUGCGCGGUGCUGGCUUCGGAGGAGCCACACUAGAGACACGCACCUGUGGGCUUCUACAAGGAGCAGGAGUAGGAUACACCGGGCCUUGGGUAAGUACUGGAAGUCUCGAGCUCAUCUCCUGCACAACCUGUCCUGGCUGGAUGGCAGUAUUCGCCCUGUACCAGCGGGUCCGCUUGUGCAGGGCUGCUAUUUCCAUCCAGCCAGGACGGGUUGUGCAAGAGGUGCGCUCCAGACCUCCAGUACUUACCCAUGGCCUGGUAUAUCCAGUUCCUGUUUCUCGUGCUGACCCUGAGGUGCGUAUCCAUAGUCUGGCGUCUCCUAAACCAGCACCACGCACCAGGCUUCCAGUGGUUCAGCCCAGUCCAACUCGUCCUGUUCCUGCUCCUCGCAGUAGCCCUGAGGUGCGUGUCCCCAGUCUGGUACCUCCACUACCAGCCCCACGCAUUAGGCUUCCAGUGCGUCAGCCCAGUACCUCGUCCAGAGUGUCCGGCAACAGUACCUCGUCCAGAGUGUCCGGCAACAGUACCUCGUCCAGAGUGUCCGGCAACAGUACCUCGUCCAGAGUGUCCGGCAACAGUACCUCGUCCAGAGUGUCCGGCAACAGUGUCUAGUCCGGAACCGAGUGAGUCGGCCUACAGUCCAGAGCUCCUAGAGUCGGCCUACAGUCCAGAGCUCCUAGAGUCGGCCUACAGUCCAGAGCUCCCAGAGCAGAGUCCAGGGUCCUCAGUGACUGGCCUCUGGCAAAGAUCCCCUCUGCAGUGACACUGUGUACUGUAUAGACAGAGCACAGUGUCAGGAACCUGAGCCAGAAUGGAUCCCCGCUGUGGAUCAGGCCCUCUCUCUGUUCCUGUUCCUCCAGCACAGUGACCAAUUCCUCUCCCAGCUCUCUGACUUCAUGGGUGGUCACCAUGGAGGGCAUGAAUACCUCAGGGAGGAAGUUGGUAGCAUCUAAACUCUGAGGUCAGAGGGAUUCCUCUAAAACAUCUUUGUUCGAUUUCCUGGAUCCUGAUCAAGCCUAUUCCAAGACUAAAAGCAUGUUCGACUGAGAUUCUCAAGCUGACCGGUAUGACUUCAUGGAGAUUCUCAAGCUGACCGGUAUGACUUCAUGGAGAUGCUCAAGAAACCCUCUCCCUACAUCCCCUCUGAUGGCCUGACCUUUGACCCCCUGGUGGACCUCAUCAACGUCAUUAUCGGGGACCUCCCCGAUGUCUGCAUACUGCUGGGACCCUUUGUGGACUCCUAACAUGAGCAGAUAGAGAAAUCUCUGUUGACCGAGACGUUUGAUGCCAUCUUCUCCAGAUGUGUGGGGAGCAUCGUGAAAGGCACCGAAGGAGUUGGAUGUCGGUUUGUAUUUGUUCCCCCCCGAGAGAGAUGUCCACCAUCACUUCAUUUACCCACAACCCCCUUUCACCCUGCCGGACCUCCGCAAGGACGAUGCAAAGCAUGUGACCCUGGUGCCUGACCCCUGCACCCUGCUCAUUGAGGGCGUGACCUUUAGCCUGACCUCUACAGACAUCCUGUCCUACAUGGGAGCAGAGGAGGUCAGCUGAUUCUCACGCAUCUUGAAACAUAUGCUGACCUGGAGAAACUACUACCCCCUGUAACCGCCUGUGGAGGAGGUGAACAUGGACUAUGAGACGUUCCAGAACCACGGCCAGAUGCCCCUCAGUCAUGAUGUGCUCAUCGUCUCCUCCGAGCUGCGCUUAUUCAUCAAGGAUGUGAUUGGCUGCGUAUGUGUCAAUCCUGGAUGCCUGACCAAGGGCCAGGUGGGAGGGAGUUACGGCAGGCUGCUCAUCCAGAGGAGCUCCACAUCGAUAGAUGGAAAGAGAGUCCGUCCCUGUGAUGCCAGUCAAGUGGUCAAGAUCUAACCUGAAUUAAAGACUGACUGAAGAUUGAUUCCUCUCCUACCUCUAAUAUCCUCUAAUAUUACAAAAUGAUCUAUUGUACAACAACUAUUAAUGUAGCUAGCUGCUUACGAUAAUUUCAUUGGAUAAUUUGCUCAGUCCUGUAUGUGCUUGUUAUCCUACUGAAUCACUAGUGAUUUUACAGUGUAGUUUUCCUGAGACAUGUUGGGCACUUCAAUGAUUAUCAGUCAUAUAUUCUGAUUCUCAC
rnacentral:lncRNA from 1 species